GACGAACGCUGGCGGCGCGCUUAACACAUGCAAGUCGAGCGAGAACCAGGGCUUCGGCCCUGGGGACAGCGGCGAACGGGUGAGUAACACGUGGGUAAUCCACCCUCGGCACCGGAAUAGCCCGGGGAAACCCGGAUUAAUGCCGGAUGGCCCGCCGGCCCUGCGGGGCUGGCGGAAAAGGUAGCUUCGGCCUCCGGCCGAGGACGAGCCCGCGACGGAUUAGCUUGUUGGUGGGGUAACGGCCUACCAAGGCUGCGAUCCGUAGCUGGUCUGAGAGGACGAUCAGCCACGCUGGGACUGAGACACGGCCCAGACUCCUACGGGAGGCAGCAGUGGGGAAUCUUGGACAAUGGGCGAAAGCCUGAUCCAGCAAUGCCGCGUGUGUGAAGAAGGCCUUCGGGUUGUAAAGCACUUUAAGCAGGGAAGAAAAAGCACGGCCUAACACGUCGAGCCUUGACGGUACCUGCAGAAUAAGCACCGGCUAACUCUGUGCCAGCCGCCGCCGUAA
rnacentral:rRNA from 1 species